UACGGGGGGGGCAAGCGUUGUUCGGAAUUACUGGGCGUAAAGCGCGCGCAGGCGGCUAUCCAAGUCAGUGGUGAAAGCCCGGAGCUCAACUCCGGAACUGCCAUUGAAACUGUUUAGCUUGAGGAUGAGAGAGGUGAGUGGAAUUCCCAGUGUAGAGGUGAAAUUCGUAGAUAUUGGGAAGAACACCGGUAGCGAGGGCGGCUCACUGGCUCAUUACUGACGCUCAGGCGCGAUAGCGUGGGGAUCAAACAGG
rnacentral:rRNA from 1 species